UACGUAGGGGGCAAGCGUUGUCCGGAAUCAUUGGGCGUAAAGAGCGUGUAGGCGGCCCGAUAAGUCCGCUGUGAAAGUCCAGGGCUCAACCCUGGGAUGCCGGUGGAUACUGUCGGGCUCGAGUCCGGAAGAGGAGUGUGGAAUUCCUGGUGUAGCGGUGAAAUGCGCAGAUAUCAGGAGGAACACCGGUGGCGAAGGCGGGUCUCUGGGCCGAUAUUGACGCUGAGGAGCGAAAGCGUGGGGAGCGAACAGG
rnacentral:rRNA from 1 species